rnacentral:rRNA from 1 species
AUUGAACGCUGGCGGCAGGCUUAACACAUGCAAGUCGAGCGGAGAUGAGGUGCUUGCACCUUAUCUUAGCGGCGGACGGGUGAGUAAUGCCUAGGAAUCUGCCUAUUAGUGGGGGACAACAUUCCGAAAGGAAUGCUAAUACCGCAUACGCCCUACGGGGGAAAGCAGGGGAUCUUCGGACCUUGCGCUAAUAGAUGAGCCUAAGUCGGAUUAGCUAGUUGGUGGGGUAAAGGCCUACCAAGGCGACGAUCUGUAGCGGGUCUGAGAGGAUGAUCCGCCACACUGGGACUGAGACACGGCCCAGACUCUUACGGGAGGCAGCAGUGAGGAAUAUUGGACAAUGGGCGGAAGCCUGAUCCAGCCAUGCCGCGUGUGUGAAGAAGGCCUUUUGGUUGUAAAGCACUUUAAGCGAGGAGGAGGCUACCUGGAUUAAUACUCUAGGAUAGUGGACGUUACUCGCAGAAUAAGCACCGGCUAACUCUGUGCCAGCAGCCGCAGUAACAC